rnacentral:rRNA from 1 species
AAGUGGCGACCGGGUGAGUAACACGUGACUACCUACCUUCUAGCUGGGGGAUAACUCCGGGAAACCGGAGCUAAUACCGCAUAACAUCGCAAGAUCAGAGCAGCAAUGCGCUGGAAGAGGGGGUCGCGGCUGAUUAGCUAGUUGGUAGGGUAAUGGCCUACCAAGGCAAAGAUCGGUAUCCGGCCUGAGAGGGCGCACGGACACACUGGAACUGAAACACGGUCCAGACUCCUACGGGAGGCAGCAGUGGGGACUUUUGCGCAAUGGGGGAAACCCUCGACGCAGCAACGCCGCGUGGAGGAUGAAGUCCUUUGGGACCGUAAACUCCUUUCGACCAAGACGAUAAUGACGGUACUGGUGGAAGAAGCACGGCUAACUCUGUGCCAGCAGCCGCG